ensembl:lncRNA
CUAUAGACCAGAGCCCUAUUCCCUAUAUAGAACACUACUAUAGACCAGAGCCCUAUUCCCUAUAUAGAACACUACUAUAGACCAGAGCCCUAUUCCCUAUAUAGAACACUACUAUAGACCAGAGUCCUAUUCCCUAUAUAGAACACUACUAUAGACCAGAGCCCUAUUCCCUAUAUAGAACACUACUUUAGACCAGAGCCCUAUUCCCUAUAUAGUGCACUACUAUAGACCAGAGCCCUAUUCCUUAUAUAGUGCACUAAUUUUGACCAGAGGCCUAUUCCCUAUAUAGAACACUACUGUUGACCAGGGCCCUAUUCCCUAUAUAGUGCACUAAUUUUGACCAGAUCCCUAUUCCCUAUAUAGUGCACUAAUUUUGAUCAGAGACCUAUUCCCUAUAUAGAACACUACUGUUGAUCAGGGCCCUAUUCCCUAUAUAGUACACUACUGUUGAUCAGGGCCCUAUUCCCUAUAUAGUACACUACUGUUGACCAGGGCCCUAUUCCCUAUAUAGUACACUAAUUUUGAUCAGAGGCCUGUGAGGAAUAGGGGGCCAAUUGGGACGCAGACUGUAUGUGAAACUGAUCAGUUUUUAAAUGUUUCUGCGGUUCUUAUUGGUUGUCUGAUUCUCUGACCAUGUCUGUGGUUGUUAUGGUUACCGUCUGAUCCAGUUCAUACAGACUGUUUUGGUUGUUGUUUCUUUGUUCUGUUUAUCUCUCUCUCUUUUUGUGGUUUAACUGUCUGUGGUCAGGUUCUGGCCAAUCAGAUGGGUCCGUGGUCAGGUUCUGGCCAAUCAGAUGGGUCAGGUUCUGGCCAAUCAGAUGGGUCAGGUUCUGGCCAAUCAGAUGGGUCAGGUUCUGGCCAAUCAGAUGGGUCAGGUUCUGGCCAAUCAGAUGGGUCAGGUUCUGGCCAAUCAGAUGGGUCAGGUUCUGGCCAAUCAGAUGGGUCCGGGGUCAGGUUCUGGCCAAUCAGAUGGGUCCGUGGUCAGGUUCUGGCCAAUCAGAUGGGUCCGUGGUCAGGUUCUGGCCAAUCAGAUGGGUCUGUGGUGGUGGUGGUGUUGUGACUACUGCUGUCUAACUCCUCCUGGAGGACCCCUGGUGUUUCUGAUAGUUUAACUUCCGUCCAGCCCGGGAUUCAAUCAAAGGCGCAUUGUGGAUUAUGAGCAAACCAAACUAGACUGUUCAAUCAAAUGUUCAGCUGACAUCCGCAGCGUUUACCAUGACAACCAGAGGAAUGAGCUGGUUAACGGUGCGACGUGGUCAGUGCACCUUUAGGUUGAAUCCCAGCCGUCUCAUUCAGACCUGGGACACCAAAUCAUGUAUCAAUUACAUGUCCCAAAAUGGCACCCUAUUCCCUAUAUAGUCCCCUACCUUUGACCAGAGGCCCACGGGGUAGCGGGAGGCCCACGGGGUAGCGGGAGGCCCACGGGGUAGCGGGAGGCCCACGGGGUAGCGGGGGGGCUAACGGGAGGCCCACGGGGUAGCGGGAGGCCCACAGGGGAGGCAGUGUCUGUCAGCCCUCCAGGUCUAGUUUGACCUCACAGGGGAACAGGAGGCCACAGGGGAGGCAGUGUCUGUCAGCCCUCCAGGUCUAGUUUGACCUCACAGGGGAACAGGAGGCCACAGGGGAGGCAGUGUCUGUCAGCCCUCCAGGUCUAGUUUGACCUCACAGGGGAACAGGAGGCCCACAGGGGAGGCAUUCUGUCAGCCCUCCAGGUCUAGUUUGACCUCACAUCUCCCUGGUUAAAUGGAACUGGGGGGGGAACAGGACAGUGUCUGUCAGCCCUCCAGGUCUCGUUUGACCUCACAUCUCCCUGGUUAAAUGGAACUGGACUCGUCACUCGCUGCUUCUCAAUGUUUUAUGGAGUGUCUGUAUGUUAUUAUUUGAUCACAUUUUAAAACUACUUAUGUGUUGACCUCUAAAUACCCUGUGAACUAUUUUGAUUGAGAAUAAAUACAAAUAAUAAAUAGAUUUAUGUCAAA